GAUGAACGCUGGCGGCGUGCCUAAUACAUGCAAGUCGAGCGAACGAACGAGAAGCUUGCUUCUCUGAUGUUAGCGGCGGACGGGUGAGUAACACGUGGAUAACCUACCUAUAAGACUGGGAUAACUUCGGGAAACCGGAGCUAAUACCGGAUAAUAUUUUGAACCGCAUGGUUCAAAAGUGAAAGACGGCCUUGCUGUCACUUAUAGAUGGAUCCCCGCUGCAUUAGCUAGUUGGUAAGGUAACGGCUUACCAAGGCAACGAUGCAUAGCCGACCUGAGAGGGUGAUCGCCCACACUGGAACUGGGACACGGUCCUGGCUCCUACGGGAGGCAGCAGUAGGGAAUCUUCCGCAGUGGGCGAAAGCCUGACGGAGCAACGCCGCGUGAGUGAUGAAGGUCUUCGGAUCGUAAAACUCUGUUAUUAGGGAAGAACAUAUGUGUAAGUAACUGUGCACAUCUUGACGGUACCUAAUCAGAAAGCCACGGCUAACUACGUG
rnacentral:rRNA from 1 species